AACAGCGUGUGUUUCAAGGAGAGAUGGCAGGGUUUAACGAUGAAGAGACGGAGCUUGAUCCUCCUCUGCUAAAUGUCACAGUGUUCUCCCGCCUGAAUGCAGAACAGAGGAGGGAAGGGAACAAAAAGAUGGUCUCCUACUGGUUUGCCGACUUCUGAAGGAAUUUCACACUUCCUUCAUGAUUUGAGCUAGAGCUGGCUACACUGGCAACCUUAAUCUCACUUGCUGGCAUCUUCACAUAAAACCGGUACAUAUUUGGAAUGGAGGAGGAGAUUAGAAUUGCCUGGAAACAUCAGGGAGCAAGGCGGAGGUGGCAGCCUUCACAUUAAAUCUACUCACCCAUUCUGAAAGCUGACUUCUAGCUCCUCCUGUGACUCUACCAACUUGCUGUCUGCAGCAUGAGCAAGAGAGAAAAAGAAUGCUGCCACAUCUUUCAAGUGUACACUAUCCUGACUAUGCCUGCUCCCCACUCACCUGCUUAGCAAGAAAGAGGGUAGAAAUGAAUAUAGGGCAUCCUGAGACCCCACAUCAACUAGAUGUUUGAGAAGGAGACACUAUGGAUGAAUAGGUCAAGGCUACAGGUCUUGGUGUGAGAGGAUGCUGGAGUCUAAGGUAGCUAUGUAACAGGUGGCCACCAGAAAUGUGGAAACAAUUCAUCAUGCAUGGUGGCUCAGCCUGAGCUGAUAAACCCAAAUGCUUUAUCUUGCCCUAAAGCAAGAGUGAAUGUCCAACGAUCAGCACCCUGGCUUGCCUGGGAGACAGAGUAAUCCACUUGUGAAUAUUCUCUUGCUACAUCUGGGGGAAAACAAAUUGAGAGGUAGUUUAGGGCUAGCUGUGUCCGCCCCCCACCCAAGUGUCCUCUUCUGAUAUGCCUGAUCCAGCAGGGCUGUUCUUAUUUGGGCCCAGUGCAUGCUUUGUGCCAGUGUGUGGAACAGGAUGCUGGACUAGAUAGGCCUUGGACCUGAACCAGCAGGGCUUUUCUUAUGUUAUUAUGUUUGUUUCCAUGUUUGGAAGCAUUAGUAAAAGCCAAGAAAACUCCCCCGGCUAGCCCUGAUCCUGGUGGUCCUUCUGGUAUUCCUGCUUGGCUGCACAGGCUGACUAAAGCUGCAAAAUGGGCCAAGCUAAUCCAGUCUGUGUCUGAUUGCUUGGCCAGGUUGGAAGAUAAUGGUGCUGCGCCUGUAUCAGCACCUGUGGAUUUCACACAGUAUGACAGUCUUCAAGUCCCUGCGCCAGCGCCAGUCCCUAAGGGAGGAACACUUUUAGUUACUGGAGCAGGUGAGAUACCAGAUGGGGUCCCAGUAUGGGUUUUGCCCACAGUCCUUCUCAAGUGUGCCCAUCGCCAGCAGGGGGCCUUUGAUGGACUAUACUGCUGGCCUGCUGGGGUCUUGGGACAGCAAUUUGCUCUGGGAGGGGCAUGCAAUCAGGUGUGGCAAGGCUUUACCUUGCCUAGCCAGGUUGCUUGGCCUAACACAGUGUCCAGCAGUGCUGCUAGUUUAUACAGCAUCUAGAAAUUAUCCUUGGCGGGGCGUUCUUUGCCCCUGGGCAAUCACCUUCUCCAUGUAGGGGUGAGUAUGUUGGUGUUUUCCUGCUUCUCUUUAGGGAACCUGAGCCGGUACCCAAAGAGCGUGAACAGGCGAGGAACAAGGAGAACAGCGAGUGAAAACGUACUGAACACAAUUGGGCCAAUUGGAUGUCUGCGUUCACCAUCUAUAUGGGGGUGGUUAUGCAGGUGCAGCCUGCUCGGGGUUCAGCCCUAGUGAAGUAUUUUGAAUUGAUAUAAUUCACUGGAGAUCCAGGGGAAAUCCGGGAAAUUACAGGCCAGAUAGCUUAACUUGGGUGCCGGGUAAAUUGAUGGAAAGCAUACUUAAGGACACAAUUGUUAAACACAGAGAAGAACAGGCCAUGCUGAAGGACAAUCAGCAUGGCUUCUGCAAGGGCAAGUCUUGCCUCACUAAUAGGAAUGUGCACAGACCGGUUCGGAGGCCAUUCUAAAGGCCUCCAGACCGGUCCAGUCACUGGGUGGUUUUGGUUCGGGUGGGGAGUUUGGGGGCUUCCAUUAAGGGCGGGGGGGGGCUUUACUUACCCCUCCCGCGCUUUCCACACACUGCCGCCGUAAUUAUUGAAGAAAUUGCUCCUCCGAUGGCUGUUCCUAUUUUAAAAAAUGGCUGCCCCCUUGAAGCCCUGGCCCCCUGCUGCUGCCUUGAAGCGCCCUCCCACCCCCUUAAAUCUCGCCCCGGGCCCUUAAAUCAUGCCCCGAUAACAUUAAGAGACGGGCGGCGGGGAGAUGUCCUCCCGCCCCCUUCCCUGCUAGGCUGCAAAAGACUUUAGGAAGGCUUCUGCGCGCGCACGAACCAGCGGGACAGGUUCAUGUAUGGAUCAGUAACUGGAUG